CAAAAAUAUGCUUGGAUUUUUGUUUGUUUGCCAUUAAAAUUGGCUAUCACUUCUCAAAAUAAUAUAACUUCUCAAGGCCAGGGAUCCUCAAUGUCUGGAGACUAAUUAGUCACAGUGCAGCAAACGAGGUAAGCUGGCUGACUGAAUCA